rnacentral:rRNA from 1 species
UACGUAGGCAGCAAGCGUUGUUCGGAAUUACUGGGCGUAAAGAGUGUGUAGGCGGUGCUCUAAGUCUGUUGUGAAAUCUCCCGGCUUAACCGGGAGGGUGCGGCGGAAACUGGAGUGCUUGAGGGUGGGAGAGGUAAGCGGAAUUCCUGGUGUAGCGGUGAAAUGCGUAGAUAUCAGGAGGAACACCUGUGGUGUAGACAGCUUACUGGACCACUUCUGACGCUGAGACACGAAAGCGUGGGGAGCAAAAGGG